rnacentral:rRNA from 1 species
AACGAACGCUGGCGGCAUGCCUAACACAUGCAAGUCGAACGAGACCUUCGGGUCUAGUGGCGCACGGGUGCGUAACGCGUGGGAACCUGCCCUUAGGUUCGGAAUAACUCCCCGAAAGGGGUGCUGAUACCGGAUAAUGUCUUCGGACCAAAGAUUUAUCGCCUUUGGAUGGGCCCGCGUUGGAUUAGCUAGUUGGUAGGGUAAAAGCCUACCAAGGCGACGAUCCAUAGCUGGUCUGAGAGGAUGAUCAGCCACACUGGGACUGAGACACGGCCCAGACUCCUACGGGAGGCAGCAGUGGGGAAUAUUGGACAAUGGGCGAAAGCCUGAUCCAGCAAUGCCGCGUGAGUGAUGAAGGCCUUAGGGUUGUAAAGCUCUUUUACCCGGGAUAAUAAUGACAGUACCGGGAGAAUAAGCUCCGGCUAACUCCGUG